AACAGGAUUAGAUACCCUGGUAGUCCACCCCGUAAACGUUGGGAACUAGUUGUGGGGUCCAUUCCACGGAUUCCGUGACGCAGCUAACGCAUUAAGUUCCCCGCCUGGGGAGUACGGCCGCAAGGCUAAAACUCAAAGGAAUUGACGGGGACCCGCACAAGCGGCGGAGCAUGCGGAUUAAUUCGAUGCAACGCGAAGAACCUUACCAAGGCUUGACAUAUACGAGAACGGGCUAGAAAUAGUCAACUCUUUGGACACUCGUAAACAGGUGGUGCAUGGUUGUCGUCAGCUCGUGUCGUGAGAUGUUGGGUUAAGUCCCGCAACGAGCGCAACCCUCGUUCUAUGUUGCCAGCACGUAAUGGUGGGAACUCAUGGGAUACUGCCGGGGUCAACUCGGAGGAAGGUGGGGAUGACGUCAAAUCAUCAUGCCCCUUAUGUCUUGGGCUUCACGCAUGCUACAAUGGCCGGUACAAAGGGCUGCAAUACCGCAAGGUGGAGCGAAUCCCAAAAAGCCGGUCCCAGUUCGGAUUGAGGUCUGCAACUCGACCUCAUGAAGUCGGAGUCGCUAGUAAUCGCAGAUCAGCAACGCUGCGGUGAAUACGUUCCCGGGUCUUGUACACACCGCCCGUCAAGUCAUGAAAGUCGGUAACACCUGAAGCCGGUGGCCCAACCCUUGUGGAGGGAGCCGUCGAAGGUGGGAUCGGUAAUUAGGACUAAGUCGUAACAAGGUAACC
rnacentral:rRNA from 1 species